GCUCGCUUGGGCAACACAUAUACUAAAAUUGGUAUGAUACAGAGAUUAGCAUGGCCUCUGUGCAAGGAUGACACACAAAUUCAUGAAGUGUUCCAUAUUUAA